rnacentral:hammerhead_ribozyme from 1 species
AUCCAGCUGACGCGUCUCAUCUAGGAUGAAACGCGCGUCGCGGAU